ensembl:lncRNA
CCAGACUAGUUUCUGGAGUUCUGCCCACAUGCCAGAAAAAAUUUUAUUAUUUUAUCUGAAUUCUGUGUCUCUGUGUAUUUCUUUCUGACAUUUCUGUAACAUUUGGUUCCCUGACUGGGAAUCGGGAAUGAAAUAGCCCUUUUGGGCAUCCUGUACCCCAUAGGAGGGAGUGGCUCUCUGUCUCCUGGAGAGGAAAGUCAUGCCCCUGGGACUAAUUUCUGAGGCACAGAGAUCUGGUCACCUGCAGAGGUUUGCCUGAACCUGACGAGACUACAGAAGGAGGACUGCUGCUCUUGGUGUCUCGUCUGUCUCUUUCCUUUGUUGGAUGGGAGCAGCUUCAUGGAAGAUGGGGUUCAUCAUGCUGGAUAUGUGGUAACCAUGAAGGAUGAAGUGGUCCUAGCCAGGGCCAUCAGUGCAAUGUGCUAAGCUCUGGGCACUCAAACAAGCACUCUGAUGGGCAAAGGGUAAAAAGAAAUCUUCCUAACUUUUUCUCCAGAAAUCUUCGUUGCAUUAACUCUUUCAUCAAAUGUUUAUUGAUGAUUUUAUAUGUCUGGCCAUUGUUUUGGGCUCUGGAAAUAAAAACAAUAAAAUAUUGUCCACACAAGUGGUAAAAGAAGGUGAUGUUAAAGCAAGGGCCAACUACUACAAGUUUAUGAAUUCAUGAAGUUCCAAAGAUGAUUAGCCUACUCCAUUUAUACCAGAGCAAUGAACACGUGACCCGAAGGCACUGACAUCCUCUGUGAGAUAUAAGAUGGCUCUGCUUUAGUGUAUGUAGAGGGGCAUAGAUCAUAAAAGAAUAUCAUAUAUAGACAUCUCUGUGAAAUAACUAUAUGAAAACUUUGUUUCAAUGAAUACAUUAG